rnacentral:rRNA from 1 species
AGUCGAACGAUGAAGCUUUUAGCUUGCUAGAAGUGGAUUAGUGGCGCANNNNUGAGUAAGGUAUAGUUAAUCUGCCCUACACAAGAGGACAACAGUUGGAAACGACUGCUAAUACUCUAUACUCCUGCUUAACACAAGUUGAGUAGGGAAAGUUUUUCGGUGUAGGAUGAGACUAUAUAGUAUCAGCUAGUUGGUAAGGUAAUGGCUUACCAAGGCUAUGACGCUUAACUGGUCUGAGAGGAUGAUCAGUCACACUGGAACUGAGACACGGUCCAGACUCCUACGGGAGGCAGCAGUAGGGAAUAUUGCGCAAUGGGGGAAACCCUGACGCAGCAACGCCGCGUGGAGGAUGACACUUUUCGGAGCGUAAACUCCUUUUCUUAGGGAAGAAUUCUGACGGUACCUAAGGAAUAAGCACCGGCUAACUCCGUGCCAGCAGCCGCGGUAAUACGGAGGGUGCAAGCGUUACUCGGAAUCACUGGGCGUAAAGGGCGCGUAGGCGGAUUAUCAAGUCUCUUGUGAAAUCUAAUGGCUUAACCAUUAAACUGCUUGGGAAACUGAUAGUCUAGAGUGAGGGAGAGGCAGAUGGAAUUGGUGGUGUAGGGGUAAAAUCCGUAGAUAUCACCAAGAAUACCCAUUGCGAAGGCGAUCUGCUGGAACUCAACUGACGCUAAGGCGCGAAAGCGUGGGGAGCAAACAGGAUUAGAUACCCUGGUAGUCCACGCCCUAAACGAUGUACACUAGUUGUUGGGAUGCUAGUCAUCUCAGUAAUGCAGCUAACGCAUUAAGUGUACCGCCUGGGGAGUACGGUCGCAAGAUUAAAACUCAAAGGAAUAGACGGGGACCCGCACAAGCGGUGGAGCAUGUGGUUUAAUUCGAAGAUACGCGAAGAACCUUACCUGGGCUUGAUAUCCUAAGAACCUUAUAGAGAUAUGAGGGUGCUAGCUUGCUAGAACUUAGAGACAGGUGCUGCACGGCUGUCGUCAGCUCGUGUCGUGAGAUGUUGGGUUAAGUCCCGCAACGAGCGCAACCCACGUAUUUAGUUGCUAACGGUUCGGCCGAGCACUCUAAAUAGACUGCCUUCGUAAGGAGGAGGAAGGUGUGGACGACGUCAAGUCAUCAUGGCCCUUAUGCCCAGGGCGACACACGUGCUACAAUGGCAUAUACAAUGAGACGCAAUACCGCGAGGUGGAGCAAAUCUAUAAAAUAUGUCCCAGUUCGGAUUGUUCUCUGCAACUCGAGAGCAUGAAGCCGGAAUCGCUAGUAAUCGUAGAUCAGCCAUGCUACGGUGAAUACGUUCCCGGGUCUUGUACUCACCGCCCGUCACACCAUGGGAGUUGAUUUCACUCGAAGCCGGAAUACUAA